CUCGCUGAUCUGGGCUUAAGGAUGAUGUUGCAAGCCGCACACGCAUCCGACCUCUAGGAGUCGUCCACACGAGCCCACGAAUCUCGAUCAGAAGUCCUGCUUCAGGAAAUCAGCACAGUAUGCUAGUACUGCGCUGAUCCUUCUUUGAUGGUUGAUCAGGUGCCUCCUUCUUGAUUUGGACUCUUCCAAAGAUGAAAAGUAGAAGGAGGAGUUUUAGAUCUGAGACGCUCUCAGAAAACUCAAGAUGGAGGGAGGAAAGAUAUGAAAACAAAAACCCUAGAAGAAGACCCUCUUCUUCUUCACGUUUUUCUCUCUAGACACCCAAACUUGCAUCUUUUAUAUCUCCACGACCCAAAGGUAUUUCUCUCUGAUUUUUGGAUGGA
rnacentral:lncRNA from 1 species